rnacentral:rRNA from 1 species
UACGGGGGGGCAAGCGUUGUUCGGAAUUACUGGGCGUAAAGGGCUCGUAGGUGGCCAACUAAGUCAGACGUGAAAUCCCUCGGCUUAACCGGGGAACUGCGUCUGAUACUGGAUGGCUUGAGAUUGGGAGAGGGAUGCGGAAUUCCAGGUGUAGCGGUGAAAUGCGUAGAUAUCUGGAGGAACACCGGUGGCGAAGGCGGCAUCCUGGACCAACACUGACGCUGAGGAGCGAAAGCCAGGGGAGCAAAGCGGG